rnacentral:rRNA from 1 species
GACGAACCGUGCGAACGUUGUUCGGAUUCACUGGGCUUAAAGGGCGCGUAGGCGGGUGGCCAAGUCGGGGGUGAAAUCCUUCAGCUUAACUGAAGAAUAGCCUUCGGUACUGGUCGUCUGGAGGGGGGUAGGGGCGGACGGAACUUCCGGUGGAGCGGUGAAAUGCGUAGAUAUCGGAAGGAACGCCGGCGGCGAAAGCGGUCCGCUGGACCCCCACUGACGCUGAGGCGCGAAAGCCAGGGGAGCAAACGGG